rnacentral:rRNA from 1 species
AGGUCGAUCAUGGCUCAGAUUGAACGCUGGUGGGGAUGUUUACACAUGCAAGUCGAACGGCAGCACGGACUUCGGUCUGGUGGCGAGCGGCGAACGGGUGAGUAAUAUCGAACGCCUUAGUAGCGGGGAGCACUGAGCGAAAGCGUACAUUACCGCAUGGCUGCUCCUCACCAGGGGAAAGCGGGGACCCUUCGGGCCUCGCACUAUUAGAGCGGCCGAUAGAUUAGCUAGCUGGUGGUAACGGCUCACCAAGGCGACGAUCCGUAGCUGGUUUGAGAGGACGCACCAGCCACACUGGGACUGAGACACGGCCCAGACUCCUACGGGAGGCAGCAAAUUCUGGACAAUGGGAAACCCUGAUCCAGCCAUCCCGCGUGAUGAAGGCCUUCGGGGUUGUAAAGCACUUUUGGCAGAAAGAAACGGCACGGGAUAAUACCCGCAACUGACGGUACCUGCAGAAUAAGCACCGGCCAACUACGUGCCAGCCGCGGUAAUACGAAAAGCGUUAACUGGAACACUGGGCGAAGCGCAGCAGGCGGUUCGGAAAGAAAGAUGUGAAAUCCCAGAGCUUAACUUUGAACCGCAUUUUUUAACUACCGAGCUAGAGUGUACGAGGGAGGUGGAAUCAUGCGGUAGUAGGAAUGUAGAUAUGCGUGAGGAACACCGAUGGCGAAGGCAGCCUCCUGGGAUAACACUGACGCUUCCACGAAAGCGCGGGGAGCAAACAGAGACGACACUCUUUGAAGAAACCACGCCCUAAACGAUGCGCCAAUCCGCUGUUGGGGCCUUUCGGGCCUUGAGAAGCGCGAAGCACCGCGUGAAGUUGACCGCCUGGGGAGUACGUCGCAAGAUUAAAACUCAAAGGAAACGACGGGGACCGCAUAUGGUGGAUGAUGGAUUAAUUCGAUGCAACGCGAAAAAACCUAUCACCCUUGAUACAAUCCCGAAGAGAUUUGGGAGUGCUCGCAAGAGAACCGGAACACAGGUGCCGCAUGGCUGUCGUCAGCUCGUGCUGAGAUGUUGGUUGAGUCCUGCAACGAUGCAACCUUGCCGAAGAAGGCAUGAAAGGGCACUCUAAUGAGACUGCCGGUGACAACCGGAGGAAGGUGGAUGACGUCGUUCCCUUUGCUAUGGCCCUUAUGGGUAGGGCUUCACACGUCAUAUAAUGGUCGGGACACAGGGUCGCCAACCUAUGAGGGGGAGCCAAUCCUAGAAACCCGAUUCGUAGUCCGGAUCGCAGUCUGCAACUCGAUCUGCGUGAAGUCGGAAUCGCUAGUAAUCGCGGACUGGGGUACAAACGCGGUGAAUACGUUCUCGCGGGUCUUGUACACACUGCCCGUCACACCUCAUGGGAGUGGGCUUUACCAGAAGUAGUUAGCCUAACCGUAAGAGAAGUGAUUACCACGGUAGGAUUCAUGACUGGGGUGAAGUCGCAACAAGA